GCCAACAAGACGCUUUGGCUUUCCGGUGGCUGCGUUCGUUUUCCGAGCUGCAAGUCGAGAUGUUGGCAGAGUUUUACGCGCGAGAUGUGAGCGCGAGUUCGGGGGCUGGCGAAGCGCGAGCUUUCAUCUGCCGUCGGACGGCGAGUGGCGGGCCGCGUCGAGGCUUCGCGAGGCGCGGUGGUGUUGUGAGGCUGGGGACACGUUGUUGUUGGAAGUUCGAGUCUCCAGUGAUAUUUGUGCAUUCGAUUUCUGUUAGAAAAUGUGAAAACUGUGUGAAUAGAGUGAAAGCUUGGUUUUGGUUAAGCUGAGCAAACAUGGCUGAUUGUACUAUAAAGUAUUCUGAAGAAAAAUCGCAAGAAUUCGUGAAUAAAAAAUGUACAGUGUACAUUUUCUUCUUGUAAAAAACGCAAAUUCACAAGAUUAACUGCUCUCCGAGAUUUCCCGCAGUAAAAAUGUCAGCUUCAUAAUUCAGCUCAAAAGCACAAAACCCUCACGGGCUAAAAAUAUUCUAAAACUCCAGUGACCCAGUCGUGAAAAACGUUCUCGAUCACAUAUACGCAGGAAUUUCGCAAAUACCUGUCUUCAUUUUUCGUGGACAGGUAUAUAGCGAGCGAGCGACGAAUCGUAAAAAGUAAUCUCGCAGCUUUUACGAGGCGUAUUUUUACGAGCGUUUUAGGGCACUGCGCGGAGCUGUCGCCGCUGCCGCCGUCGCGCGCAAUAAAACUAUUUUAGAAAAUUUCCCGUUACGCCGUUAAACGCCAUGACGAACGUUCGGCUGACAAAAUGUAAACAUCGCAGAGGAAGCGAUCUUCGAGUGUCGCGCGAAAUGGGAAUCGCACUAAUGACGGAGGCAUAAAAAUGCGCUCGUAAAACACUGUGUUAUUCGCAGAGCGUUUUCGGCUUGCCGACGGACUGAUUCUGUGCGAACGAAGUGAUGUAGUCGGUGCAAACGAUUUGAUGCGCAGGAACGUGUUAUUUCGAAAAAAUCGUGGAUAAACGCGCGCGAUAAAAUUACGAAACAAUCGCACACCGACACGUAACGCUCGCUUGCUCGUCUCAUCAUCGUUUGUAGAAGUAUCCUCUCGGAGCACGUCUACUACUGCGUCUUCAUUGCCAUCUAUCUCAACGAUCGCCGGAAUCACGGAGCGUCACCUCAUCGUGGCCCGUUCGACGCGGGGCUAAGAGAAAACGAAGUGCAAAGAGGAUUUUAAUAAGGACAAUAAUCCGGAGCACCAACAUCAGAGCGAGCGACGGGUCAGGUUCUCCCGUGCGGCAGCGAGGCGAGUCGUUGACGCUGAAACGUCGGGACAUUUAAAGGAAGCUGGCUGGCUGGCUGGCUCUCGAGCAAACUCGUUGCCAUAUCAAUAUACCUAAGUGAAAUGAUACGAGGUGCCCGUAAAGCUCGACAGUAAUGACGCAUUAGGGGGCCGCUAGCCCGAUUUAGUCGGCCAUCAAACAAAGGCAACUUUUAUUGGAUGGCCCGGCGAGCACGUAAGAGGCCCCCGCGCACACACACACACACACACUGCCAUACGUACUCACACAUUCGUGCUUGCUCUCUUGCUCCCGUUCGUGCGAGCACUUGACGAGCGAGGGAGGACGAUCCGACGGCGGCGGUGUAGCAGACCACACCGCACGCGGCACUGCCACAUCCCCCGCCAAGCCGGCGUUUUAUGCGUUUUAUAUAGGUGCGAGAUACGCGGCCCGACUGCGAAACACACGUACGUACGUAUACGUGAAUGAAAACGAAACGAAACAGUCGAGUGCGUGUACGCGAUACUGUGUCUGUAUUGUACGGGAGACGUUACGGCCUUUUUUCGGGUCUAUUUACGUGCUACGAUAUUACGAAGGUAUAUAACGCGGUAAUCUCGACGCGUACCUGCCGACGAGAAGUGCUGGACACGCUGUUUUCUUUUCCGAGGCGAGAGAUAGUUUUGCGCAGCGCGAGUUAUUGGCGUGGACUAGUUUCCGACGGUGAUAUUUCAUUAAAAAGCGAUGUGAUAUACGCGAAGUCGUGCGGAGAAGAAUUAGCAUUUUUGAAAGCCCCGCAAGCUCCACUUGCAGCGCGUAUCGCAUUGUUUUGGACAUAUGGAAAUGCCAUUUCGAAUGAACUACGCGCUUAUUUAAAUGCGCGCGAGAGUUAUCUCUCUCCUCGCGCUGCAUACACACAUAUUAUACAUAUAACGCAGAGUCGCAAUUGAGAGCGUGACGAAAGAUCCGAACGUCCGUCUCGUUUUUUAUCAAUUAACUUCGCUCGCGUGCGAUACACCCAACAACGGGAGUAUUAUUUCGCGCAAACUAUCUCCGAACCGAGCAGUGUAUAUAAUAUAUCAGCCAAAGUAUCAUUUAAUAUAACAGCGCUCGCGCGCUCUCGGCAUUUAUAUAUUACGGCAACGCGCAGUGAAAUAUCUCUGGCCGUCGGCAAAGUUCACGUGCGCGAGACAAUCCCUCCGACAGAAACAGCCUUGCACAAUAUCUCGAAUACUUACAAACACGCAACCAAUGCUCGCGCGCGAUAUAAAACAGCGAAACAUUUUUGCUUCUGUUUCGCGCGAAAUAUUGCAUUUAUCGCGUAUACACCGUACGUGUGUGUUGUAUCGUAUACCCGCGGGAUAGGCUACCCUCUCUUCGGAUUCCGCUUUGUAAUUCCCGCUCGCCGGCGGCGGCGCGAUGCCUUUUACCCUCGUUUUUUCAUACCUGCAGAUAGCAGCGACGAUAGCGCGCAUAUAAGAGAGAGUCUAUCUCCCGCUGCUUCUGCAUAAAACCGGUUCGCUCGCACUCUUUUAAUUCGCUAUACACUCUCGGCGGCUGGAAUUUCUCUCCGAAGUAAAAAUCAUAUAGGAGUAGCGUAUAACGCUCACGAGCGACCCGUCGGCAAGCACAGCAGAAGUCGACCGAAUACACGGCUCGGUGUGGCCUAUAAGAAAUAAUUAGACGACCUUGCGCGAUGGCUUUUACGAGCGUGUUAAGCUGCCUCUGAUGAUGUCUAAAUCGAUGCAUAUUUUUAGAUAUUCGUUUGAUGUCCGAAUCCCUCUGCGUGCUAUCUCCGUCUGCGGAUUUUAUCGCGGCGCGGAAUGGCUCGUAUAUAUUUUUUUAUAGUGCGCGCCCGGAGACUCUUUUUUAUUUCGGCUUUAUAAAGCGAUGGGCCCCUCGUUCGCUCGAGAGUUUUAUAAGCUUUUAACGAGUAAACUCUCGCUUUCCGUUGACAAAAAUGUGUUUUACAACUUUGAUUGCGCCAUAUACGACUCGAAAAGAAACGAAAUCCGCCGCGCUUCCGACGGCUUUACAGUGCGCGAAUCUCCGGAGGCUCGAAUCAAUAGUUUAUUAAUUAUUCCGGAACGCGCAUCGAAUUAGCCGCGAGAGCUCAUAAGCGGUACGUCAUCCGUGCACGCAGCUAUGCUCGCAUCGGGAUUUAUGGCAACUGCAGUGCUCUACGCUGCCCUGUUUGCGACGGAAUAAAUUGAACGUAUUGUACACGAGCCGCGGGUAUACGCCGUUCUAUCUGACGCAUAACAAACGCCAUGCGUUAUCCCGUGUCGGAGCGAUGCACACGCGUUUCUGCUAUUGGCUUGGGGGCUUGCGGUGGAAGCGCGUCGGUAUAGCAGUGCGUGUACUAGCUCUCGGUCCGGAAAUGUACUUAUUGCAAACAGUGCGCGCACACGACUCUUUCCGCGACUGAUGCGCCAAAUUGAAUUUCGCUCGUAUAUGCUUGCUAGCUGUGUGUGUAUGCACGAGAGAGCUUUUCGAACGUGACCGGGCACGUAGAGCUAGUCUUUGUUCCGGCGAGCUCGUUAUUACUCGCUUGGAUUUAUCGCUCUUAUACUUCUUAGUACUCGAUGGUUUAUGCAUCGGUGCAAAGCGAGCUUGGAAGUAGUCGUUUUGAAUUAUCGCUUUAGCGUGGGUGCGAUUGUCGUGGAAUUUAUUUUGAAAAUUAAUUUACGAGUGAUAAUGAAUUGAAGAUGGCCUGAAGCAAAUUAACUGUAUUUAAAAAUUGAUGUGGUAGUCUCAGUAUCUAAACUACUUUGUAGUUUUGAAAUCGCGAAGAUAAACAAUCAGAAAUUAAUUAAAACGACUCUCAUCGUAUUUUAUAUAAAUCGUGCGAAGCUAUCACCGCUAAAAAUGUCGAUAUCCAGCAAUCAAACUUUCAAAAAUGAAUAAUCUAAUCCACACCAACAAUAACUUUCAGCAAAACUUCAAAAUAUCUAAUCAGCCGCCUCGUAAACGUUCGUCCCAAGCUAUUAAAGUGAAAUUCCCCGCCGUUCCUAAUUGAAAUUAUAAGUUCAAUCGUGUAAACAAUCGUAAAAAGCAUCGAUCGAUUAAAAAGAAGCCGAAGCGCCGGCCAUCGACGCUGACUGAGCGUUGCGAGAACGAGAGAGAGGGAAGGGAAUCCAUGCGCGCGGCGGCACGUGUCAAAGGGGCCACCGCCUGCGCAUGCCCGAGCGAGCCAAGAUGGCCGCCAGCCCCACUCCACUAGCUCGGCUUCCCAACCGCGUGCCUCCUUCUCCAGCCCGCACAGCGGGUGUUCCUUUCUCUCUUCUCGUUUCUCCCUCCCCUCGCUCCCCCCUCCCCUCUACCCGUACCUCCUGAUCUAUCGUUCUCGCUCGCGCGAACGCGAAAGCUCGAGCGUCACUGCCCGCACGCAAUUCCACUCUCUAUAACGUACAUGCACACAAGCCGUUUGCACUUACCCGAUAUAUUUGUAGACCUUCCGCCGACGCAGGGGGAGUAGAGGGAAGAUAUUUCGGGCGGGAUGGAGAGAAGGAGCGAGGAAAUUCGUAGGUAAACUUUUCGGGAAAGAGAAAAGGGGACAUCGAUCUCUCGACACCCUUGACGCGACGGAUUCUCGCGAGGCUUUGCGCGGCCCGCGAAGCUCGCACGAACUGGAUUGUAUCAACCCGAUGUCGACGCGAGGCUGUCGGGGCGAAGGGAAAAGAGAAAUUCCGGAGCCGCCUGCCGCGACGGUGAGAGAAAGGGGCCGAGAAGGGGGUAGCACACUUCGGAAUCUUGGGAUGUCUUAUACGGAAAUUUCGCACGGUCGGUAGAAUAAUGCUCGAAAAAGUUUCUGCGCGGGAGAAGAAUUCGAGGGGCAUGUUCCAGUUUUUUGAAGAGCCGCCCCGUGUAAUCCGUCGGAGAGGUGGAUCGAAUUUUAUCGAUCAGCUCGAGUGAGUGCCUUCGCGGCGAAAGAACGAGAACGGAGUUCAAAAAGAGCCGAUGGGAAAGAAUUCAAAUGACUUGAUUUUGCAUUAAAGUCGAUUCGAAACAGGCUGUAAAUAAAUCAGUUACGGUUGUUGAAUUUUCAUACACUCGCAGCUUUUAUUUAUGUAGUCGAAAAACAAUCCUUUAUACAAAGUGCAGACGUAUUCUCGGAGUUUUGGUUUCCGGCUUACGGUAAUAGAACAAGGUUAUCCAAAUAUUUCUCGAAACUAUUUUUGAGAGAAGAGAAAGUUUUUAAAUACUUGCUGUUUGGAGCUACAAAAAUAGAACGCUUAGCGGCUCGGGGGUAGGUCACUGACACAAUGAGAAAAACACUUUUGUAUUGAUUUCCCGGCAUAGUUCGUGGCUCCUUAAGCCCCAUGAGUGAUAUUCCCCUCUGGAAAUAGAAGUCUUUGUGCUUUCUUCGAUAUUUUUCAAAACAGAGCGAUAAAAUGUGUCACUCAAGGCUAUCUGAAUUUUUGAAUAAGCCGUGAACUUGUAACUCUAUCUUCUUUAUGUUUUGUACGACAGUUUUUCUAAGGCUAAACAUGCGAUAAGAAGUACGUAAAAAAGUCGUAAAAUCUCGGUCAGCACUCGCUCACUCAAAUAAGCAGUAAAGUCAUAAAACCGAGUGAAUGAAUGCAGCUCAUUGACCGUCGACUGGCGUAGUAGUAGUAGUGGCGAGUACAAAGUGUAUCUUUAAAACCAUAAAACAGACUGAAACAAUGAAAAUGUUGUUCUUUGAUUUUUUUCGAGACAUAAUGUUCAAAUUAAUUUAUUUUUUUGCAUCCAUAUGAUUAAAAGUUUCAACUUUCGAAGAUGAUGGAUUUUAAUGAAAAAAUAAUUUACAACCGAUUCGAAACGAAUCCCACGAACACAUAGAGAGUCAGUUCCUACACCGACACACACAGACCCAUAGCCACAGCGUCGAAGAACGAAGGGAUAGUCCGCGGCAGAUGUACCUCACCCAAAGGCAGCAGCGAGCCUAGGCAUACGAGUCAGCUAGCGGGCCGGAAGGGGGGGAUCCAACAUCGAGCAGCAGCAGCAGCAGCAGCAGCAGCACAAGUCGCGCAAGAUGGCCGCCGCCAGGGUUCUCUUCCGUCGCCACGCAUCGUCCAGCGAGCCGCAGCGUUUCGGGUUAUCGCGCGUAAAAAGUGUCGAGAAAAGUCUUGUUCCGUCGAUCCGCGCGAGUGAUAACGCGCAUCGAUGCAUCAACGCGUGGGAUCGCUCCUCAGAAAUCGCGAGAAAGGAUUGCAGCCGAGCCACGCCCAGGGACACGCGCACACAAAACACAACGGCAGGAGCAGCAGCCAUCUUGGCCGAUGUACGACGACGCGGCUACGGCGUCUCGCGAUGCAGCCCGAGGUGAGAGAGAGAGAGAGAGAGAGAGAGAGAGAGGAAGAUGAGAUCGGAGAGCGAUUUUAUUUUCACGCUAAUUUGGAGGGAUUCCUGGAGGUGAGCAGCGACGAGAUAAGGGCUUCGAUGGAUCAGAUAAUGCAAGGAGAAUCGCUUCCUCUCUUUCUCGGGCGCCCGCGCGCUCUCGUCUCUGCUCAUCGCGAUACGCGCAUGCGGAUGGAGCGAUGAUAAGGAUGUACGCUGUGCGAGAACAUACGAGUGCCAGGAAUAACUGAAACGCGACGCCUGAUCCUGGUUCCCAAGGCCAUGGCAACACUGCAGUAACGUCCAAGCAACGAAUAAAAAGGAGACCAUACCAACAUCCACACACAGAGCACAGCGAGUCCAGCCAAAGGGAAGGCAGAUCGAAAAUUGCAGUCUGUACACAUAUAGUAGCCUCUCUCUCUCUCUCAUGGGGCGUCGGCGGGAACGGCGUCACUACCAACCGGCAAGGUAGGCAGCUGCAGUACAGCGAGGCGGCAGCAAUCGUGCGGCCGGCUAUAGUUAAACGAGUUUCGAAGCGCUCGAAUAAAUUGGCCGCCAAUUACGAACGGAGGAACGAUCGAUGUCCUCGCAAAGUGCUUUCGCCUCUCUCUCGGCGAGACUCUCCUCUCUCGCAACAACACAACGACGACGUUCAUCGGCCGCAUGCAGAUAUUAUGCGGCGCGUAGCCGCUCGUUAAUAUUGCCGCGGCGUUCCUGUACUACACGAGCAGCAGCAGCCGAGCGAGAUACUAGCGUCGCGUCCUCGCCGCUUGAUUUACGAAUGCUAUGGGCUCUUGCGUGCCUCGCAUCCAGCUGAAUUAACCGUCUCUCUAUAUAUACACACUCGCACUUUGUUCCCCGCGAUUGCUUUUUGCGCGCGCGGCUGUUAAUCGAUUCGCCCGAGCGAUCGUGUGUUUUUUCUCACAGCAGCGAUGGAAAGAUACCGAGGGGCGAAUUUUCGGCGGAAAGAGAUAUAAAGCCGCGCGCUGGUCGGAGAUGGGAUAGGUAUCGACCGUGAAAACUGCAGCGCCCUGCAUCCGAGAGAGAGAGAGAGAUCCGAGCAGGUGAUACGGGCGCAGACCAACAGAUGGCAAAGAGGACUUCUUCCCGGACGCGGUUUCGUCGGAGCGCCGCCUCGCCCUAUCGAUGCGCUGCCAUCGAGUUUACGAUGCACUUUCGAGGACGAUUUUCGACGCGCUUAUGCCGCCUAUACACAGCCAAGCCAAGCGUGCGCUUUAUCGCGCACCGGCCGCGGGGAUGAGUAUUAUGCGGAUUGCAGCGUGCCCUCGUUGCUCUGAUAGUUUGUACACUGCAGAUGGCUUCGUAUGUCCUCGUGAAUGUACUAUUAGGAUGUUAAUGAUAUUGCCCUCGAAUGAAGCUUAUUUUAAUAGUGGAUUGGAUGAAAUGAAGACUGCUGAGUGUUGUUUGAACUUUAUUGUUGCUGCGUGUUGAAAAUUGGUUUUUUGGAAUACAUUGUGGAAAAAUUUUCGCUUUAUCUGAUUGUUAUGAAUUCAAAUAAAACUUUACAAAAACUAAUAACAAAA